UACGUAGGGUGCGAGCGUUAAUCGGAAUUACUGGGCGUAAAGCGUGCGCAGGCGGUUCGUUGUGUCGGCGGUGAAAGCCCCGGGCUUAACCUGGGAAUGGCCGUUGAAACUGGCGAACUGGAGUGUGGCAGAGGGGGGUGGAAUUCCGCGUGUAGCAGUGAAAUGCGUAGAGAUCCGGAAGAACACCGGUGGCGAAGGCGGCCUGCUGGGCUAUGGCUGACACUGAGGCGCGACAGCGUGGGGAGCAAACAGG
rnacentral:rRNA from 1 species